UAUCACAUACCUGCCAACUUUCACGAUUUAGGCGUGUACUACACGAUUUUGACCCUUUGUCACGAUUGCACGAUCGUGUUCCUGAAAAACCCUCUAAAACACGAUUUGGUGAAAAUCUACACGAAAAAUAUUGUUGUUCCCGAUUUUGAACUGUGUCCAAUGGAGGAAAUCGUGUUCAGCCAAUCAAAUUGUGUGUUUCUCAUGAUCAAAUUAAUCAGCCAAUCAAAAACGUUUUCUCUCAAGAUUGUUUUAACAUGCUAGAUAUUGAACUUGUGUUGUAUUCCUCUGUUUGUUGGUCAGAAUUGUAAAAACGUGAACAUGGCAAAUGAUUUUUCAACUGCAAGGAGGUUCUUACACAGAAUAAGAAUAAAAGCAUGGCUGAUUGACAAACUUCAAUGAUGCAGUACUACCAUGAAUAUAAUAAAUAGUAGUUUAUUCACUAAUUUAUUGACAUUACAUGUACACUUGCUGUAACAUAAUUUUAUUUAUGUAUUCAAUCAUUUAAAGUAUAAUGUACUAUUCAUUAUUUUUCACAUGGACCCCCCACCCCCACCCACAUCAACAUGAGGAAUCCCUUAAAUGAGGGACUACCCUUAGUCAAGGGGUCACUCUUGUAAAAAAUAAAAUAGAAAAAUGUAGAUUUAUUAACUUAAAAAUGGGAAAUUCUGACAUUAUAUUUGGAACAGCUUUUCUAAAUGAAGAGUCCUAUUAUUUUGAAUAAUAAAGAAGAUAUAAGGCCAAGAACAUAUCAAAGUUCUUGGACAUGUGUUGACCAUAUAAUACCAGAUAGAUCAUAAGAUGUAUAGUUCUUUGGGAAAAGUUUCUUCAAAUAAUAUGAAUGUGUGCUCAUUUGUACUUAAAAAGUGGUUUUUAAUGUCCAAACAUUGAGGGGUGAUCCCUAUGUGUUGUUCCCAACCUGAUAAAGGUCCUUCUUUGUGUAUAAUUUUAAAUUGGAAAAGUCAACAACUAUUUAGUAUCCUUACACAUGAAAAUAAUUCCUGGUCUUACAGCUACAUGUAAUGAUGUUCAUAUUUUCUGCUGAUAUAAUAACUAGAAUCAUGCAAAUAAACUUAAGAAAAAGGGAUGUAAGUCCAUCUUACAAAUCAUGCAAAUAUGACACUUUUUCUAGACUACAAAACAGCACGCGCAAAAUAGUUGUCGCAAAGAAUUUUAACCUUUGAAAUUGUUGUGGCGCGCUAAAACCCCCAUGGGCAUUUUCAAAAGUUGGCAGGUAUGAUAU
rnacentral:lncRNA from 1 species